rnacentral:piRNA from 1 species
AAAGUGAUGCUGUGUGAAAUACCAUGA